rnacentral:rRNA from 1 species
GACGAACCGUGCGAACGUUAUUCGGAAUCACUGGGCGUAAAGGGCGUGUAGGCGGGUAGGCAAGUCGGGGCGUGAAAUCCCUGAGCUCAACUCAGGAACUGCACUCGAAACUGCUUAUCUUGAGUGCCGGAGAGGAAAGCGGAAUACCUGGUGUAGAGGUGAAAUUCGUAGAUAUCAGGUGGAACACCGUGGCGAAGGCGGCUUUCUGGACGGUAACUGACGCUGAGACGCGAAAAGCGUGGGGGAGCAAAACAGG